CUACGGGAUGCACCAGUGAGGAAUAUUGCACAAUGGGGGGAACCCUGAUGCAGCAACGCCACGUGGAGGAUGACGCAUUUCGGUGUGUAAACUCCUUUUAUAUGUCAAGAAAAUGACGGUAGCAUAUGAAUAAGCACCGGCUAACUCCGUGCCAGCAGCCGCGGUAAUACGGAGGGUGCAAGCGUUACUCAGAAUCACUGGGCGUAAAGGACGCGUAGGCGGGCUUGUAAGUCAGGUGUGAAAUCCUACAGCUUAACUGUAGAACUGCACUUGAAACUACGAGCCUAGAGUAUGGGAGGGGGAGAUGGAAUUAGUGGUGUAGGGGUAAAAUCCGUAGAUAUCACUAGGAAUACCUAAAGCGAAGGCGAUCUCCUGGAACAUAACUGACGCUAAGGCGUGAAAGCGUGGGGAGCAAACAGGAUUAGAUACCCUUGUAGUC
rnacentral:rRNA from 1 species